rnacentral:rRNA from 1 species
UACGGAGGGUGCAAGCGUUAUCCGGAUUCACUGGGUUUAAAGGGUGCGUAGGUGGGUUGGUAAGUUGGGUGUGAAAUCUCGGAGCUUAACUCCGAAACUGCAUUCGAUACUGCCGUGCUUGAGGACUGGAGAGGAGACUGGAAUUUACGGUGUAGCGGUGAAAUGCGUAGAUAUCUGGAGGAACACCGGUGGCGAAGGCGGCAUCCUGGACCGGCAAUUGACGCUGAGGCGCGAAAGCCAGGGGAGCAAACGGG